UCAUCCUAUUUGUAUAUUAAAGUACGCAAACCAUUUCAUCCCCAGAUUUUGUUCAUCUACGACUUGAGUUUCUCCAGCUUUUCAGUUCACGUGUUGAUCGAAAACAAUAUUCUUCAUGCUAAAAAUGAGUCACACUAGUAAUGAUCAAAACCAGACUCAAGCAUACGAGUCAAAGGACAUUGCACCGGGACCUUAUCAAGUUCCACCCCCUCCACCUGCUAUCACACACCACCAGAACCUUCCCACUAACCAAGAAACUAAAUUCAAGGGUCAUGGCUUCUGGAGAGGAUGUUGUGCUGGAAUGUGUUGCUACUGUUGUUUGGACAUUUGCUUCUGAGAUUUCUGGAAUACUAUGCAUAUAUGAAGUGUACUGAUCCUGAUCCUCUUACAUGUUAUGUUAGAUAUGGGUGAGAGAAAGGUAUAAUAUAUGUAAUUAAUUACCUAAGAACAUAUAUAAUGGUGCAUCUCUUAUAUAUAUAAUAGUAAGUUUGUGCGUGUAUUAAUUAAUAUUAUAAUUUUCGGUAUCUAUAUAGUAAAGGAGUACAACUAGUUUUUA